CGUGACCACGUCGCUUCUUCUCUCUUGUUAUCAUUGAUCUAACGGUUAUUUUCAUCUGAUCAAUUUUGCUUUAUUUCUGUUAUCUCAUGCAUUGUUGUAGAUAUAAGUUUACAACUUAGAGUUAGGGAAUUGGAUUUAAUGACCUGACAACAAGUUUGUUUUACCGGAUUAUUUCAGCUUGAUUUCUGGUUGAAUAUUAGGUCUUAAUUUCUUCAGUCUGAGAUUUCAAAUGUUUGGUCUCCGUGAUUUAUAUUUUCUUGUUGAAUAACUAGAUUAAUUACUCUUACUCAUAUGCACUACAUUACUUGUUUUUCUGAGUCUCUGUAUUGUAUGCUAGCCACAGUCCUCAAACUGGCUUCGCCAGGCUCUAUAGUUGCUAUUUUCAUUAUUGCUCAAGUCCUCGGUUUUUUUUUCCCCGGAGUUCUGAAUUUUGGCUGUUGAGUUACCAAAACCUUAAACUAAUUGGAAACGGGUCAAUUAUGAAUUUGAAGAUCUAACAUGGCUAGCAUCUUAAUUUCAUUGUGAAGAAGAUAUAUUAUUCAUCUAUAUUUUCUUUCUUGCAUGAUUUAGGAAUUUUAUGUGGGUAUCAGAGAAGAGCUUGUUUAAUUAUACCACCGUGCUAGGAAUACCCAUCAUUAAAAAAAAAAAAAACACCCAACUCAGCAACAAUCAUUACAUGCUCUGUUUUUUGAGAUGACCCUAUCUUGCGAACAUACAGCCUUUCACACUCUCAUGAUCCACUAUGUGACUUAUUGUUGUAAUGUGAGCAGGCAUGGCAGGAUUAGCACCUGAAGGAUCACAAUUUGGUGCACGUCAGUUUGAUGCCAAGAUGAAUGACUUAUUGAUGGCUAUAGGCUUACAGCGAAUGGACAAGAUUUAUGAUGAGGUUUAUAAUACAUUUGAUAAUAUGGGAUUGCAAGAGAACCUUCUAAGAGGCAUUUACGCAUAUGCAAGUAUCUCUGGUGAUAAAUUAUGACUUGCCGACACAGCCCGAGAACUAUCUUCAUCGUAUAGGACGAAGUGGCAGGUUUGGUUGCAAUCAAUUUUAUCACUAGGGACGAUGAGAGGAUGCUAUUUGACAUCCAGAAGUUCUAUAAUGUAAUCAUUGAGGAGCUGCCAUCAAACGUUGCUGAUCUCCUCUGAUUAGAUUUUGUCUUGAUUAUUACUAUGG